UGGGGAAUAUUGCACAAUGGGCGCAAGCCUGAUGCAGCCAUGCCGCGUGUGUGAAGAAGGCCUUCGGGUUGUAAGGCACUUUCAGCGAGGAGGAAGGUGGUGAGCUUAAUACGCUCAUCAAUUGACGUUACUCGCAGAAGAAGCACCGGCUAACUCCGUGCCAGCAGCCGCGGUAAUACGGAGGGUGCAAGCGUUAAUCGGAAUUACUGGGCGUAAAGCGCACGCAGGCGGUUUGUUAAGUCAGAUGUGAAAUCCCCGGGCUCAACCUGGGAACUGCAUUUGAAACUGGCAAGCUAGAGUCUCGUAGAGGGGGGUAGAAUUCCAGGUGUAGCGGUGAAAUGCGUAGAGAUCUGGAGGAAUACCGGUGGCGAAGGCGGCCCCCUGGACGAAGACUGACGCUCAGGUGCGAAAGCGUGGGGCAGCAAACAGGAUUAGAUACCCUGGUAGUCCACGCUGUAAACGAUGUCGAUUUGGAGGUUGUGCCCCUUGAGGCGUGGCUUCCGGAGCUAACGCGUUAAAUCGACCGCCUGGGGAGUACGGCCGCAAGGUUAAAACUCAAAUGAAUUG
rnacentral:rRNA from 1 species